GCCGCCCUUCCCGCCCCGCCGGACGCCUGCGCUGCGCCUUCCCCGGGCUGCGGCCUGCGCCGGGCCCGGGCCUGCGCCGGGAGGCUUUCUGCCCAAGAGAGGAGGCACAGCUGACAUCAGUCGGAGGGGAAGCAAGCUGGAGCGUUGGCUGAGAGCCUGAGCUGGAAGCUGGAGGAAUCUGGAGGGAGAGAGACACAAAUCUGGUGUCAGGGCUGGGGCUGCUGUGAAGCUGGGAGACGGGGAAGAAAUGGGGCUCUGGCGUGACUGACCUGUGGGUGGAAGAGGCGGCUUGAGAUGGCGUGUGGUCAAGGUUGGGAGAUGGAGGGUGAUGCCUCUCUGCACCAAACGGCCUCAAGAGUUCGCUUCAGCAAAUGGCUGUGGCUGUCUUUAAACCCCUCUGUCAACACAAAGGAUUGCAGCACUAAUAAUACCAGCCACAGUCAUGAGUUUUUCUUCCUGAGUUGGCCUAGAGAAAAUGCAUAAUUUAAUUUUUCAUUUGAAAUAGGCCCCUCUGCUCAGUUGUGAGCCGAGGAUGACUGGGAAGGCAAUUUUCUUGUUUAAACCAAUUUCUUUUGAAAAAGCAAACAGAAGCUAUUUAUAUAUCAAAUGAAAAUGCUGGUAACCAUUUAAACAUGUGGAGUAUUGACUGUUUGUUCUAAAUAUAGCAGAUGUAAUCGCUCACUUUGUUCCUACUGUCAGGAAUAGAGCCUGGCUCAGGCGCUGAUGCUGGAAUGUGCGAAGGAGGAAGGAGCCCGGGGGAGCCCAGGUCCUGCUGGGCAGAUCCCUGCGGGGAGGCUGGUGGUAUUUAUGCUCCUUGACUGAGCCAAGCAGGAGGUACAGGAUGCCGUGUCCUUUGUACGGAGCUGAGCUGAGAGGUUCAUUUCUGUCACUUUUUAUGGGCUGUUUCUAAAGCAAGGCUUCGUUCAGGCUCUGUGGGGGACGCUUUUCUCUGUACUGUGCCAUCUUAAAUUCUCCCCUUGGCUUGAUGGAGGAGGGCAGAUAAUUGCUAGGCUGCUGGGCGCCUGCCUCUUGUGGGUGAGUGAGGCAGUCGUCAGAGCAGGUGACAACAUGCAGAUACCAUUCAGCCAUACCUAAAGCCCUGUCAAUCAGCAUUUCUUUGUGUCAUUCAGUUCCCAUUUUGGGUCAUGUGUUUCCACAGCAACUGAAACACACAGCUUUAUCUAGUUAGUGUGCCUCCUUGUCCCUGCCUCUCACCUUCCCUGUCUUGUGGGAACAGCUCCUCCAGCUCCCUCAGGUGACCCAUCUCCCUCCUUUGGGGCUUGUCACAUCUUGUGGCAAGCCCAGGGGAGAGUGAAGAUGUUUUGUGGUAGGGUUGUGGUUUGACAGGCUCCUCCAUCACUGAAGAUGCUGGUGAAUUGGCUGGGUGAGACUGUGUGGUCACCAUUUGAGUGUCAGCUUGUAUGAGGGGCACAGUAGAGCUGUUGUUUGUACCAUGAUGGUGUAUCCCGAUCCCUGGUGAGGACUGCAGGGGGGUGUGAGACCCAGCUGACACGCUGACAAGUGUUGACCUCAGGCGAGGAGCAGUGCUGGUGUGCCCUAAUCUUCACCUGCCCUUGUGGAGCUCCAAGUUGUGAGACCCUUGUCCUCACAGGGUGACUGAUGGCCUGGGUUAUUUCCUUGCAAUGCAGUUCCUAUUAGAUAUUGCCCACAGUGUGGUCUUCUUCAUCCAUGUCACUUUGCAGGCCUGUCGGGUCUCCAUCUCGAACGGAAGGGCUGUGUGACCAUCUGCUGUUCUGUGGAGCCUGGUGUUGGUCUGCAGUUCUACCUCAUUUUCAGUCUGUAUUAUUUUUACCCUCUGUCAGUUCCUCAGCAGAAGGGUUUGAAUGAGCAACCUAUGAAAACUAGUGAGGCAGCUAAAACAUGAACAAAAUUGCUUAGUGUUGAAUGAAAAGAGUAAUUUCCCCCUGGAUUUGGUAAUAAACCUGAAGUGCAAAUGAUCAACCCA